CUUGCCAACCUGGACUCAUAAUUUUUUACUAAUGGACAAAUUACAUUUUGUACUCUUUCACUCUAAUGCAAAAAGAAACAGACACAGAGAGAGAGAUAGAAAUAGUGACAUAAAUGGCCCAGAUAAUGCUAGAAAACCCCAUUUUAUGAGAAACCUUCACAAAAUCAACAGUUUCCAGAUGGUGUUUCAUAGAGAUCUAAGGAGCCAGGUAACAUCCUCUGAAGCAAGGGAAUUAGGAGAUAAAGAGAGGCUGGAGGAGCACAGUGGACGUUCGACCUCAGACUUUGACUUGCCUCAACCUACUUUACAAUUUAGGCCUCAACUAAAGACAAAAUGUGAAGAUGCUUUGGUGAUUACUCUAUUUUGGUAUUUCAUAUUGUGAGGAGGUGGUUACAUGGCAAGGACUGGAGGG
rnacentral:lncRNA from 1 species